rnacentral:lncRNA from 1 species
AUGAUCUUCUCCCCUGUAGUUCUUGCAGGUCUGGAUGGAAGCUGUUUCCCCCACUUCCUUUAUCUGGGUGAGGAGCCACCAGUGACUUGGUCAAACUUUUCACUAUGUACAAGUUGCAGUCACCCUUCAGUCUCGGUUUGUAUGCUCAGAAGGGGCAAAGGAGGAGUCAACACCUGUUACCUCGUGUUAAUCCUCAGGAUGAACAUCCUAAGAAUGUUUGUAACUCCCUCAACACAACCCGGCAGUGGAGGGGCGCUACUUUCACCCCACAUUAUACAUGAAGACACUGAGGGUCAAGAAGAGCCCUGUGCCCAGGCGGUAGUUGGAGGCUGGGAGAGACUGACCCAAGGUCAACCCAAGGUCAACCCAAGACUGACCUCCCUUCAGAGCUCAGCCUCUCAUCCCCAAGCUGGAUGACCUCUAGCUGGAGAUGCAUGGAGAGCCCAGUAGGUAUUUUUGGAUUGAUGUGUGUGCACACACAGACACACAAGGGUUACACGGUCACAUAAAAAUACACACUGCCUCUGGCGCCUUGACUCUGGUUCCAGGCACAAGAGGCAGCCGUGCUUGCAGUCUCUCAG